AUUUAUAUUUCUACGUGCCAAUUUAUAUUUGGCACGUAUAAAAUCAGACCAAAUAAUAUUUGGUAUGUAUUAUAUGCAUAUGUACAUUGGUCAUUUUACACUAUGCUGUAUAUUAGAAAUUAGCUAUCAUUGCUUAGUUAACCCUCACUUACCUAGUCAUUACAUUAGCUGAUACUUUUUACUUACCAUGGCUUAUUUCUCAAUAUUCUCUCCUGCUGUGUUGCCAAAUUGAGCUCUUUACCUGUGUCAAUAUCUAAAUUGCUUUGUUUCCUAUUUGGUCAACAUUACUGUACAAGUACGAUUUGUAUGUGGAAGUGUAAAAAAAAAAUAUUUAUAUAA